rnacentral:rRNA from 1 species
GGUAACACUGAAUGGAGGACCGAACCGACUUACGUUGAAAAGUGAGCGGAUGAACUGAGGGUAGCGGAGAAAUUCCAAUCGAACCUGGAGAUAGCUGGUUCUCUCCGAAAUAGCUUUAGGGCUAGCCUCAAGUGAUGAUUAUUGGAGGUAGAGCACUGUUUGGACGAGGGGCCCCUCUCGGGUUACCGAAUUCAGACAAACUCCGAAUGCCAAUUAAUUUAACUUGGGAGUCAGAACAUGGGUGAUAAGGUCCGUGUUCGAAAGGGAAACAGCCCAGACCACCAGCUAAGGUCCCAAAAUAUAUGUUAAGUGGAAAAGGAUGUGGCGUUGCCCAGACAACUAGGAUGUUGGCUUAGAAGCAGCCAUCAUUUAAAGAGUGCGUAAUAGCUCACUAGUCGAGUGACACUGCGCCGAAAAUGUACCGGGGCUAAACAUAUUACCGAAGCUGUGGAUUGUCCUUUGGACAAUGGUAGGAGAGCGUUCUAAGGGCGUUGAAGCAUGAUCGUAAGGACAUGUGGAGCGCUUAGAAGUGAGAAUGCCGGUGUGAGUAGCGAAAGACGGGUG